GAUGAACGCUGGCGGCGUGCCUAAUACAUGCCAGUAGAACGCUGAAGGGGGAGCUUGCUCUUCUGGAUGAGUUGCGAACGGGUGAGUAACGCGUAGGUAACCUGCCUGGUAGCGGGGGAUAACUAUUGGAAACGAUAGCUAAUACCGCAUGACAACAGUUAUUGCAUGAUAACUGUUUAAAAGGGGCAACUGCUCCACUACCAGAUGGACCUGCGUUGUAUUAGCUAGUUGGUGAGGUAACGGCUCACCAAGGCGACGAUACAUAGCCGACCUGAGAGGGUGAUCGGCCACACUGGGACGGAGACACGGCACAGACUCCUACGGGAGGCAGCAGUAGGGAAUCUUCGGCAAUGGACGGAAGUCUGACCGAGCAACGCCGCGUGAGUGAAGAAGGUUUUCGGAUCGUAAAGCUCUGUUGUAAGAGAAGAACGAGUGUGAGAGUGGAAAGUUCACACUGUGACGGUAUCUUACCAGAAAGGGACGGCUAACUACGUG
rnacentral:rRNA from 1 species